GCUCUUGGUCAAGUGGUUCCAGGUUAACAGAUUCGAAAUCUGUUACUCCUCGAUGGUGCAGGUUCGAAACCUGUCAGCA